rnacentral:rRNA from 1 species
UACGUAGGUGGCAAGCGUUGUCCGGAUUUACUGGGCGUAAAGCGCGCGCAGGCGGACUGAUCAGUCUGGGGUGAAAUCUCACGGCUCAACUGUGAGCGGUCCCUGGAUACUGUCAGUCUUGAGAGACCUAGAGGAGAGCGGAAUUCACGGUGUAGCAGUGAAAUGCGUAGAUAUCGUGAGGAACACCAGAGGCGAAGGCGGUGGUCUGGGCCGGCACUGACGCUGAGGAGCGAAAGCGUGGGUAGCAAACAGG